UACAGAGGUCUCAAGCGUUGUUCGGAUUCAUUGGGCGUAAAGGGUGCGUAGGCGGUGCGGUAAGUCGGGUGUGAAAUCUCGGAGCUUAACUCCGAAACUGCAUUCGAUACUGCCGUGCUUGAGGACUGGAGAGGAGACUGGAAUUUACGGUGUAGCGGUGAAAUGCGUAGAUAUCGUAAGGAAGACCAGUGGCGAAGGCGGGUCUCUGGACAGUUCCUGACGCUGAGGCACGAAGGUCAGGGGGAGCAAACGGG
rnacentral:rRNA from 1 species